GGAAGGGUUGUAGCUUAGUGGUAGAGCAUCUGCUUUGAGUGCAGAAGGGCCUAGGUUUCAAUCCUUGACACCUCCA